UCGCACGGGACAAAUUCCGUCUUAGAAUUAACCAUAUUUUAAUUUAGUAGUUCGCUAUACAUACAUAUGCAUCUAAGGUCUCAGCAAUGUAAGUGAAUAUUAAAACUAUUUUAAUAUUGGUUAAAGAACAAAUCACCCAAAAACUUUUAAAUUUUAGAUGAAAAUGGAAAUCAUAUUCCUCAAUCAGUGAUCGAUUCAAAUGACAAUUCCAUCGAUCUAAGGAAUGAACAUGACGAAAAGACAAAAACUAAUGUCAGCAGCGAAAAAAGCUACAGAAAGUCUGCGCAAGAAAAUGCAAAGUCAAAUAUUGUAUCCUUAACUCAGAGAGCAGCAGUCAUAUCGCAGACAAAUAAUUCAACAAUGUACCGUUCUCACAUAUUUUGCGAAAUCUAAAAGGAGCUUGAUAAAACUACAAGAAAUUGAAAAGGAAAGAAAAAUCCUCAAGCGCAAGCAACAAAUUACAGAAGAUCUAACUAAAUACAGGCAGACUAAACAACAAAAAUUGAGUUGCCUAUUUGAAGAAAUUCCUAAAGCUAAAAGUCUUUGUAGCCAACAAUCUUCAGCCGGCAGACCCCCGAUUGAAGACGAUCAACCGCUUCUCCAUAAAACUAUUUUGGAGAUAGCCAUGUUUGGAAGUGGAGCUGAUGAAAGGAGGCGCACUAACCUUGUCAGAAGUGUGAAAACCUUGUCUGAUCUCCAUGAAGAGCUCAAAAAAGAAGGGUUUAACUUAUCGAGAAGCGCAACCUAUCUAAGACUAUUGCCCAGAAGCUCUUCCUCGAUUGAAGGAAAACGUCAUGUGAGAACGGUACCGGUAAAGCUUUGUCGAGCCCAAGCAGAUUAUCACAAGCAGCAUAUAGAUGGAUAUUUUGCUACAUCACCUAUAAAAUAUCUUGAAAGCGUUGCCUCUGUUCUCGGAACUGCUCAAGGGUUUUUUUGUCACAAGGCAUGGCUAGGGUGCCAAUUGGUUUGACUGCUGCAAAUGAGCAAGCACCUCUGCUUAUGCAUCUUGAAUACAAGGUCAAGCUGCCAGAUCACGUUUGGGUUUGUUGCCCCAAGGCAUAAGCUAAUUCCCUCAGUUUAUGCGAAGGAAAAAGUGCUUUCAACCGAGUCGAAAGGAGAAUGGCCCCACUAAGCCGGGAAUUUUCUGUGUUGAUUUUGCCACACGACAUGUUUGGAAGCUAUUUGGAUAACAAAGGCAGAGCCACAGACUUCUACUUAGGGAAAACAAAUUUUGAAUUCGCCGGGAGAACAUUAGCCAAAGUUUGGGGAAACAUGGUUCUCGAUGACUUUCCUGUGACUGCCAAAUAUUGUCUACCUAACGAAGAAGAGGCAGAACUGGAUGACAGAGAUCAGUACUGGUAUUAAGAACAUGAUCGUGAGACUCAAUACUUUUUGCAAAUUGUGAAAUGCCGUUCUGAAGAAUGUGGAUUACUUCAAAUUCUACCUGAUAUAUAAAUUUGUUCAUUUUUUUGGUUUUGCGUACGAAUUUGUUAAUUUUUGCAAUUAUCAGAACAGAAAACAAAAUAGAAACAAAAAU